rnacentral:rRNA from 1 species
AGUGAACGCUGGCGGUAGGCCUAACACAUGCAAGUCGAACGGCAGCACAGUAAGAGCUUGCUCUUACGGGUGGCGAGUGGCGGACGGGUGAGGAAUACAUCGGAAUCUACUUUUUCGUGGGGGAUAACGUAGGGAAACUUACGCUAAUACCGCAUACGACCUACGGGUGAAAGCAGGGGAUCUUCGGACCUUGCGCGAUUGAAUGAGCCGAUGUCGGAUUAGCUAGUUGGCGGGGUAAAGGCCCACCAAGGCGACGAUCCGUAGCUGGUCUGAGAGGAUGAUCAGCCACACUGGAACAGAGACACGGUCCAGACUCCUACGGGAGGCAGCAGUGGGGAAUAUUGGACAGUGGGCGCAAGCCCGAUCCAGCCAUACCGCGUAGGUGAAGAAGGCCUUCGGGUUGUAAAGCCCUUUUGUUGGGAAAGAAAAGCAGCAGGUUAAUACCCCGCUGUUCUGACGGUACCCAAAGAAUAAGCACCGGCUAACUUCGU